rnacentral:rRNA from 1 species
AUUGAACGCUGGCGGCAGGCCUAACACAUGCAAGUCGAGCGGAUGAAGGGAGAUUGCUCCUGGCUUCAGCGGCGGACGGGUGAGUAAUGCAUAGGAAUAUGCCUGGUAGUGGGGGAUAACGUACGGAAACGGGAGCUAAUAUAGCAUACGUCCUGAGGGAGAAAGUGGGGGAUCUUCGGACAUAACGCUAUCAGAUGAGACUAGGACGGAUUAGCUAGUUGGUGGGGUAAAGGCCUACCAAGGCGACGAUCCGUAACUGAUCUGAGAGGAUGAUCAGUCACACUGGAACUGAGACACGGUCCAGACUCCUACGGGAGGCAGCAGUGGGGAAUAUUGGACAAUGGGCGAAAGCCUGAUCCAGCCAUGCCGCGUGUGUGAAGAAGGUCUUCGGAUUGUAAAGCACUUUAAGUUGGGAGGAAGAUCAGUAAGUUAAUACCUGGCUGUUUUGACGUUACCAACAGAAUAAGCACCGGCUAACUUCGUG